rnacentral:lncRNA from 1 species
ACAAGAUAGUGAUAUAAUUCUGAACAAACAUGGCUUAACACCUUGCCUUGGCUCAGGAUUGGACUAAGUAAUUGAUUUUAUGAAAAUUUAUCAGUGCAAGAUGACAUCAACCUUCACCUGUUAAGUGCAUACUUGACGUGUGUCUGUGUGGAUUCAUGCUAACAUAUCAAGUUCAUGAUGAGUUUGAGUCCCGACCCCAAGUGGUCAAAUGUCUCCUUACUCGCUCGAGAGAUACACAUCCCCCCAAACUUAUUCUUUUCACUCAAUUAUCCCGGGAUUGUGUUUAAAAAUUAUGAGUUUACCUAGCUUUAGUUCUCACCCUCUCGUAGUUUGGAUUAAUUUCACUAUCACAAGUUCACACAUCAACAAGUGAAGGCUCUCCUAGUUUUGAUUGCUUCGACACUCAAGACUAAACUAGGUUACUUGCCUCGCCUCAAAGGUAU